UACGUAUGAGGCAAGCGUUGUUCGGAAUUAUUGGGCGUAAAGGGCAUCUAGGCGGGAUGUUAAGCCAGGUGUGAAAUUUUAGGGCUCAACCCUGAGACUGCAUUUGAUACUGACAUUCUUGAGUUAGGUAGAGGAAGGCGGAAUUCCCGGUGUAGCGGUGAAAUGCGUAGAUAUCGGGAAGAACACCGGUGGCGAAGGCGGCCUUCUGGACCAUGACUGACGCUGACAUGCGAAAGUGUGGGGAUCAAACGGG
rnacentral:rRNA from 1 species